CGGGAGAAAAGGGUGGCAAAGGCGCAUGCCAGUUGUGCCCUCGCCGCGCUACGAGUCGGGUAACCCCAGGAUUUUCACCCUCUCUAUUGCCGGGACGGGCCCGGCACGACGUUCGAGAGACUCUCCUCCUGGCGUCACGUUCGCGGCCGGCGGCUUCUCGGCAACACAGAUUUCCGGUAUCCGCCCACCCUCGCGUCGCGUCCCCGGCGUUUCCCGGCGUCGCGUCGUUUCGUUGCGACGACCAAGAGCCGGAACAGUGACAUAACAAUCGAUGACAAUCGUCUCGCGCUCGUCCACCCCGUGCCGCUUCCGGCGCGUCCUCUCGUGACCUCGGUCAAGGCGAUCGACCGCCGCCGGUCGGUGAUCGCACGCGAUCACCCGGACGGAUUCUCUCUUGUCGACGUGCUCGAGGAAGUGGUGUGGCAAGCGUCGACCGCGAACGGUCGGCACGUGAUUGUGCACUGGUUAUCCCGGAGGAAUCAUCUUCCGGACGUGAUGAGACUCGCGUCAGGUUGCGUUUCGGCAGUGCAUAACGACCGCUGAAUCUCCGAACCGUUGUCGGCCACUUGAACAUGACGCCGAAGUUUCUCCGCUCGUGGAAACUAACGGACACUAACGGAUUACUCUCGAAUGUGUUGUUCGACGCCGAUUGGAAAACGUCAAGAAACCUAGAGCGAGCUUCCCAAAUCGCACGAUCGUGGAUCAAUUUCGUUGCACGUGCGAAAAUGUAAGAGUCUACGAUCGUGAUCGAUACUGGGCGGAGGAUCCACGAAAGGACGCAAGGAUCGCGCAACGUAUUCGAUCUUUGUUCGAUUUCUGAUGUGGAAUAGGUGAAGCCAGCAUGUUUGCGUGCCUGUGGAACUUCUUCGACUGGCUCGACCAGCCGGUGACCAACUCGACGCCCGGGAUGGACAACAAACAGAUUGUCCAGUCGGCUACGCCGCCCGCCGUACCGGUCCAGGUACGCAGCAAACACGAUGGCUCGGGGGUGGCGGCCUCCGUGUCGGCGGUGCGCAGACGGAGCGGCCCUCAAGGGGGGCUGCGAUCGCCAGCCGCGAAGAGGCCUGUCUCCGCCCCCGUCGCACUUCAGGGCUGGUUGCAUAAACAAGGCUCGGAAGGUCUCAUGCUCUGGAAGAAGCGUUGGUUCGUUCUCUCCGAGUACUGCCUCUUUUAUUACAAGGGUCCGGAAGAAGAAAAACUGCUAGGUUCGAUAUUAUUACCUUCGUACAGAGUUACCGUCUGCAAACCCGAGGACAAAGUCAACAAAAAGUUCGCCUUCAAAGCAGAGCAUGCGAACAUGAGGACUUAUCAUUUCGCUGCUGACACCCGCGAGAGCAUGAAUCAAUGGGUGAACGCGCUGACUCUGGCGACGCUGCUGCAAGAUCCUAGCCCUGGCGCCGGCGAGGCUGCGGUGGUCAUAGAAAUAGCUGGACAGCAGGAUGGCGAACGAAGCGCCCGACCUAGCGUCUCGUCGAUCUCGUCGAUCCUGAAUCAAAGCGCCGACGACAGCGAUUCUGGCUUCCACGGCUUCCAAUCGCGCGACGAUCCCAGCCAUGCAUCCAACAACAAUUCCAGCCCAAACAGCGCAAACACUGCCUCCUUUCCGAAUCUCAGUGGCAGCAACGGCAACGGCAACUCCACCAACAAUAAUCACGCGAACGAGUCGAGUCAUUCAAUGAUGAAUGGUUGGGUGCAACAGUCCCCGCAGUACGGCCAAGCCGGUACUUCUCAGUCGUCGCAGCAGCAGCAGCAGCAACAAUACGGACACUUACAGCAAUUGACUCCAGGUCAUUCGCACCAACAUCAAGCGUUGCUUCACCAACAUUUACAUCAGAAUGCGCUUCCAGCUCAUCAAUCGUCGCAUGCACACAAACAUAUGGUCCAACAGUCACCGCAGCAACAGCAACAACAGCCUCAGCAUCCCGGCUCGGUUCAAACGAUCCAGCCCAUGCCGAGGAAGUUCGGUCAGCCGAUUUAUGCGAAUGCACCACCGAAACCUAGAAGAUUGACAGACGGCAGCAACGAGUACUCGACGCCAUCGCCGGACCCGGAUUACCGAAACAGCCCGGUCUCGCCGGAUGUGACGGUGACCAGCAAGAGUCCAAUGUCGGAUUACGAGAGGAGCAAUACUAUCUACGGCGCACGGAUAAAUCAGACUGCGUCGCAGGCCGCGCCAAAUCUGCGCACGGACAAGUCGGGCCUGAAUUACGGCUACGGUCCGAGUGCUCAACCAACGGAGAGGAGAACUCCGGACACGUAUGGCCGUAGCGCAAAGCCGAGGGUCAACAGCAGGGGCAAUGGUGACUAUGAGGAAGUCUACGGUACCCCGCAGCUGUAUCAGAGGCCCGCGGGACCGGUGGGGUACACAAAGGGCACGUCGCCGGCACCCAUUCCUAUUCCUGUGUACGCGCAGCAACAUCUACAGCAACUGCACUCACCCGUCACACCGUCGAACAUAACGAUGGUAAGACAAUCCAGGACUCAACCACCACCGCGACCGCAUAGCGCCGACUUUUUAGAAUACGAGGCGGCAAGGCGACCUCAGCAACAACCCACACAAUGCGAGAGACCUCCGGAUCAACAGAGGCGUCCGCAGAGGCCUAAAUCCAGCUUAGAUAUAGUGAAUCCGUCAGACGCGACUAAUGACGGUUAUUUCUAUUCCGAGGAAAGAUAUGCAGCACAGAUGCGGCAAUCCGCGGUGUAUCUGCAUCAGACACCGCAGCAUUAUCAGCAGCAACGAAAUCAGUCGCUCUCGCGCGUCACGAUGCAGCCGAAAUUACCGGGUGUCCGCGACAAAAACGACGAAAGUAGAAUGUCCACAUUGCCGGAUUCCUCCUGCCCCGCUCUGAGACGCACGCAUCGGGAUCACGUUCAUCAGCAACACACGAUGCCCGCUCAGUCGCUGACGCAGAGACAUUCCGAGAUAAUAGGUAUUGAUCCGAAACUCCGGAGAUCUUUGCGCGAGAAGAGUUGCGAGGCAAAUGGCCGCGAGGUGCUGACGCACAGCGGGGAGGACAACACGAUACCUCGAAGAAUACCGCGUGGCGAGUACGACGGGUGGGGCAGAAUAGGGGGCCAUGGUGCCCACGGGACUCACAUCGCUCAGACGUGUCACGCGGGUCAUGCAGGUGCCGGCAGACGAUGGAGCGAUCAGCAGCAGUUUUGCAGAUCAGCGUCGGCGCGUCUGCCAAGGACCCGGCAUCCCGCCGCUCUUGAUCCGGACGACGACGACUACGCGGAGAGGUCUUCUGAACAGGAUUCGCGGGAUGGCGAACGCAAAAUUCAGCAACGCGAAGAGUCGAUGAAGCGAUUGUUGGAAUGGAAGCAGCGCAUGCUGCAGUCUCCGCUGACGCGAAAGCCAUCCGGUUCAGCUAAUCGUGGUAGAGCGCAAAAUGAUCUUUCCAGUUACUACAAGCAACAGGCGUUGCUGGAUCUGGCGGCGCACGAGGCCGCCGUGGCAGAGAGUCGUCACUCACGGCGGCGGGAGGACGGACAUCGUUCGCAUGUCAGGAGCAAGAGCUCGGAUGGCCGUCGCACCGCUGUCACCGUGCCGCGCUACAACAGCUAUUCCAGCGAUGACGAAGCGUCCGGCUCGGGGUCCGUGAUAGGCAGGGAUCCGCUUCCACCCAGAGCCGUCAGCACGUCUCAUUUGCCUCAAAGAACGCUGACUCAACCGCCGACGGCGGUGUCCACUCUUCCGUUACCGAGAAACAACGCUGGUAGUAGCCAUCGGCAGCAACCGCUUCCGCUCCAUCGCUCGACUCUUCAGCAGCCCAUGAGACAGCCGGAGAACGAGACCAUCAUCGCAGAUACCCAAAUGCUAAGGGUCGCCAGCAACGGCGACAUCGGCAAGAGUCCCGUCAUGGUUACCGGCAACGAGAUGAGAGAUCUAAGGCUAGCGUCGCCGGGCGGUCACUCCACUCAGCGAUUGAUCAGCCCGAUUGGACAUUUGCGGGUUGCCCCGUUGAACGACCAUCGUGUUUCCAGUCCCAGCGACAGCGAGAUACGUGUGCACAGUCCAAGUGAGAGAAAACUGAUCAGCCCGAUCGGUAGAGAGGUCGAUCGCGGCGGAGGUACAACGAUGACAACGACAGGUCAGAGACAAAGCCAGCAGCAGCGGAUGCGCGCGGAUUACGGCGAGCUGCUGCACAAGAGGAGUAACACCAGCUCCCAGAGAACGGACGCCGGCAGCAGGCAGAUGACGCAGGCAGGCGCAUCCGGACUGGUGCGCGUUUCCGCCGGUGAACUUCUCGGCAGGACCCACGAGGAACUGGUAUUGUUGCUGAUCCAGCUACGACGGCAGAACGCGACAGUCCUCAAGGCGAUGGAGACAUGCCACAUGGAGAUCGAAGCGCAGGCUAGAUUGGCGGAGCUCGACACACCGAGGCGGUUGGAGAAUCUUCAAAAACUCGAGGAACUCAAGAGACACCUGAUGGAUCUCGAGAAGCAGUACGAGAAGAGCAAGCCUCUCGUGAACCUCGUGGACAAUAUGGUAAAAUUGGGCUCUCUGUACAAUCGUAACACUGCCAACGGGAUCAGCAAUAUCUCCGGUUCUCGCCAUGAUCUGAUGCAUGAGAACGCGAGAGAUCAUCGCGAACGUCUGGAAUUUAAUCAGAGGAUGCAGGAGCAACGACUACUGGCCGAGGAGCGCAGGGAUUGGGACAGACUCAGUCCCGAUCAUGGACAGUUACAGGCUAAAGUCCAGCAGCUCUAUAAAUUAGAUCGAUUGCUCCAAGAGGAGUCUGGCACAUUACACAGUCUUCAACAAGACAAGGAAAUACUUGAGAAGGCUUUGGGCGGGUUGCGGCACAAACUGCAAGGCAGCAGAAGCAAUUUGGCCGAAGCCGAGCGGUAUCGGAAGCAGCAGCUUCUAUUAGAGCGCGAACUGAGCAGAGUGAGGGUGCUGCUCGCUCACAACUCGAAGGUAAAGCCGAUAUUUCUGCAGAAACUCGAAGAGACGGUAGCCGAAAACGCGAGACUCGAACAAGACUUAGUGGUACUCAGACAGAAGCUGCAAGCCUCCCGAAGAUAUGCCGGUAACAUCGCAAGAGACACUUCGAGUACGACCGCACCGUUAGAAGCAGAGUUAAGACGAGUGCAGCAACUCGUUGGCGAUCUGCAGAGGCAGAGGAAGGAACUGAGCAUACAAGUUCGCCAAUUGACGGAGAAAUCGCACAGUUUGGUGCAGCAAAUUCGACCGCAGUCCUCACACGCGCCCCAGGUACAUCAUCCGAAAAAACGCACGCAAAAUUCCUGGCUGGAGACCGACUUAGAUUCCGGAAUAACUUUGGACCAUGGUUUAGACUCGCCGUCAAGUCCAUCUCUGUCCAACUCGCCGCCGAAUAAACUAAACGACAUCUCUUACCAUCGAUACGGUUCUCCUACACAGUACAAAGACCUAUCGCCAUUGAAUCGUCCGCAGAUUCAGCAGCCUUUCACACAGCCUUCGCAAAAUCAUAUAUCAGCACUAUCACCGCAAUUACGCGAGCAAAUCCAGCAGCACCAAUUGAAGCAACAAUUAUUGAAGGAUCAAAUGCAGGGAAAAGGCAAUGCGACACCUCUGUACGUUAAUACGGAAUCUAGAAUAUCAGGCGAUUACAUCGCUGACACGAGUAAGCACAACGGAAACGUGUUGAAUGGCAUGCCGCAUUCCGCUCCGGAAUACAUCCCGCCGCCGCCACCACCGCCACUGAAUGAGGAGGCAUUGUUGUUGAACGACAAUUAUAGGCAAAACGAGGACAACAAAUUUGCGGGAUUAAUACACAAUCGCGAGAAACAAGAGAUUAAGACGGUGCGUAUAGUGAAACGCGAGUCAGAGAGACGACAGAGAGACCGUGGCGAUAGAACGGGUAAUAUCGGAAUUCCUUUGACGAACGGUCUUCAAGCACCAGGCGGAGCAAAGAGACUAUGUGACGAUGAUAUAGGAGGAUCGCAAAAGUUCGAGAAGGCUCAACUAGGCAGGGUAGUGGAGGAGUCACCGAUCAUCCACGCACAGAGCACAGUUCAACUAUCCGAAUUAGACGAUAUUCACUUCCAAAGGAGCAUGUCUCUACCGCGCGGUUUCGGCGGACAAAAACAGCAGACCGGAAUCCACUACGGACCCGUGGUACCUCCACCGCGUAGCGACAGCAUGCAUGCUCUGAAGACCAUGAUGGCACGACGUCAUAAGAUCAGGUUCGAAAGUCACGACGGCAGCUCCGACAGUACUCUGUCACCAUACACGGACAGUCCUACGUCUAGCUGUCAUGUACCGAUGAGCUCGCCCAACUACUCUACCACAUCGUCGUACAGUCCGUGCCAGAGUCAAAAUUAUCCGCCACAAUCGGCGAUGGUGCAGCCUCUCUAUCACAAUCCGCAUGGAUCGUACAAGCAAUACGAGAGAGCCGGCGGCAUCCUCGCGGGCGCCAGUUUGAGCCCUGAAUUAACAUCACCAACUAACAUUACUCAUGGCGUUCAUGAAAAAUCGAUUGCCACUACUAGCGAGAAAAUAAUCGGGACAAACACGAACCAAUCCGAGACGUCACCGCAAUUGUCGCCGGUCUUCAAAAGCAAGGCUGCCAAACAGAUUAUCAAAGAGAUGACAGAGAAGAGGACAGAAGGACCGAGACGUAGAGAAAUUCCUCGGGAGAAAAGGCGACACUACACCGUGUCUAGUAGCAAACCAGUGCUCGACUUAGAAGACACUUUUUCGAAGAUGGGCAUGGGCAGAGCUAGGGAUGACUUGGACAUGGAAAGGGCGCUAAGGCCCAGGAUAAAUGCUCCCGACGUAGUACGAUCGACAUUGAGUCACAAAGAAUUAAAGUACAAUGAGAGCACCAUAGAUCAACUAUUAGGCACGCCCAAUAAAAUUGUCAUUCCCGAACGAUAUAUUCCUGAACAGACGCCGGAGCUAACGGCGGAAGAACAGGAGCAACGUUUAAAAAAGGCGGAAGCAAUUAGGAAAAUGCUCUCGGAAACAACCGUAACUGCAUCGGAAGGUGGUGACGAUAACUCCAAUGUGCAAAAAUCAGACAAUUUGAAACGAAAAGUCGUCGAAGAGAAGCGACAGAGGGAACACAUCCUUCAGCUCAAUCAAAUAUUGGCAAAGCAAGUGAUGGAGAAAAGUAAAAUGGUAGCGGGUAACCAGGCACACUGACUGACAUGCUUACUCCAUCUCUAUAGGACACGCACGUCACAUUAUCAUUUUCAGUGAAAGCUCUGGCAACGCUUCCUCUGAAGACCGAAUCGAGCUUAGACGACGAGGAUCUCUCGCCCGUGGCUCCUUUGCCGCUUUACCAGCAAAGAGAAAAUUACUAUUCAUAAGCAUCGUAAGAGCACAAACAACUACUGCCAAUACGAAGGAAACACAGGGACAGAGAAAGGAUACAAGAGAUUUUUCUUUUCCCGAUUAAUUAAGAAAACGUGCGAAAAUUCGUGCAAUAUACUGAGAGAAAGUGCUUUUAAUUUGCAUCGAUUGCAUUGUACAUAAUCAUCGACUAAAUGAAACGGUAAUAGAUAGCUGUCGCGUUUGUUAACGAUAAGAGCUCGUAUAAUAUAUAACUGUUGCACACUUACGAACGAGAUAUUGGCUUAAGGCGAUCACGUGAUAAACGAAAUUAUCACCGCGUUAUCAGGCUGCGAGGGCAUGCUCAUCAUUUUUUUUCGACUAACGCUAAACUCAACAACAUCGUGAUUGCUGUCAUUUUUACUGAAACAUCGUUCUGAAAAAACAAAAACUGAAUAUCAUUCAGCGUUGAAUACUAGAGCGAUACUCGCUGGACGACUUUUUUAUCUGCGUGACGGAUUUAACGCAUCUCCGGACGACACGUCCGGCUUUGAGAAACCUUUUAUCGCGUCUCUUCGCAAUCGAAAGUUCUUUUUCGAAAGUUUUCAUAUCGAUGAGUAUCUGUAAGUAACAAAGGGACGCACUCUCGACUGAGCAUUUGUUUCGAAUAUUGUCUCCCGUUUUACAAUCAUUUUCGGCGAAUUUUUAUAUUGACGCGAGCGGCGAAAUUAUAUACCCCGUCACCAAAGUUUGAACGAAAAUGUGGUAGCGUUCGAUUUAACGGCGCAAAAAUUACGGCUCGUUAUUUUAGCGACGAGGGAUGUAUUCAUGUAUAUGUAUUGUGCGUACAAAUCGAGAGAUAAAACUUUACAUGGACGACUACCGUGAAGUUUCUACGACGCUAGGAUAUCGAGCCUGCUAGGUCCCAUUCGCCGAACUCGAUGACGAAAGGAUAACGGCGCCGAUUGCGACGAUUAUCAUGUAAACUAGAUUGUAAGAAACGCAUAAUAUACAUACGCUUCUGAAGCGCCCGUUGCUGUUAGCGUUAUAUACGAUUUUUCACGGGCCAUUGUAGCAUGGCAUCAUUAAUGUUUAGAAUAGACGUACAAUUAUAAUGAAAGAGUGCCAAAUUCCUAUCAUAAUGGCGAGCGAGAAGCGAGCGUUUAAACGAUCGUCAAUUAAAAAAUCGCUACGAUAUCAAUGCGGUACCAUAAGAAUAAAGAUCGCGAAACGAUCGUACAUGAUUAAACAUCUUAUUUCACCUUCUGAGAUCGGCCAGAUAUUAUCAAUAUUUCAAACUUUUCACCCUUCUCAGUGAGAGAUUGGAUUAAAAUAAUUGAACCAAGAUCUCGGCUGUAUCGGAACAAAGAUAACGUUCACGUAUGAAACGUUUAUGAUGAUUAUUCAAUUUUCUAAAGAAAAGAUCGUAUAGCAAGCUACGCGAAUAAUUUAAGUAAUAUAACAGAUUAAAUAAUUUAAUUUUAGCUAAUUUUAUCGAUAACUUGAUUUAAAUAACUCAGUUAAUUAUUUAUAGUUAUCAACUAACAAAUAAUUAAUAAUCGUUAAUAAUUAUUCUUCAAAUUCGAUCAGCCCGGUCCGGAAUUAGCAAAAUUUUGCCAAACUCCCGGGUCUACGCGACUUCUGAAGCUCCUUCUUUUUGUUAAUUGUAAAAAUAAGAAUUGGCCCCAUGGGGCAACGCCAUAUGGCCCGCAAUUUACAAUCAUUUACAAGAAUAAAUAACUUUUCUCAUUUACUUACAUUUACACAGUAGCUCGUCAUUGUCGCGACAUCUAUCCAGCUGAACUAAUACUUUAGUGGGAUGCAAAAUUCAAAUAAGCAUGCAUACGAACGAGAAAGAUUCCAAAGAUUCCCAAUUAAUACGCGCGCGCAUCAACUAAAUUCGAAUAAUGAAUGAUUUUAGAAAAAUUACUAUAAAACUCACCAAAAAUACGACCUUACUCCGAUAUCGGAAGGAUGAUCUGCAUCUGAAGCGUUCUUCGGCCGCGCAAGCACUGGGCUCGAUCUGUUAGCACUAAGCGUGUUGUGAUCACUUUGUUUUAUGAUGAUCUCCAGACGGAAUAUUUUUCUGACGACAAUGCAACGCGCGCGGUACAUACACUCGCUAUGUUACGUGCAUUCGCUGCACAGAAUCGCGCAAAACGCGAUAAAACACCCGACAAAACCGGGGAAACGUGACGUCCCUUCGCAAACGCGACGUGUCUUGCGAAGCCCGCGGUCGCCACGAACUAUCGAUAUUAGUUUCGAGACUCGCAGCGGCACAAGAUGGCGUCGUUUAUCGAUACAAUCGAUAUCUACCAGGCCGCAUCGGUUCAAAACUUCAAACGGGUUCUUAUAACACUGCUAUACCUCUCUAACGUCAAGAUAUGCAAUUUCGGAAAUACGAGAUAACUUAAUAUUUAAUAUGUAUCAUAUACAUGAGAAAAAUUUCAAGAAACUUUCAACGACGCGCGGCAAUGAAAGGAAAAUCAAAGGAUUAAUAAUCACGUAUAAAGUUACAAAUUUACCGCGAGCGUCCCCGCAAGGUUAUGCUUCAACAUCGCAAGGAUAAUCUUCGCCGUUAUCGCUCGUAUCUUCGAUCUGGCACACGCGAUCCACCGAGUACUUAGCAAUAAGUUUUUAUAACAAUUAUAAAAAAUGUGCGCGAUGCACUUUAUUGUCAUGCGAAAUUGCGCGAAAUGCGACGCCGCGACGCCGCCGAUUAAACCCGGAGAACUACGGUACUCUUUUGCACAUGCGACGUUUCCUGCAAAAGGUCCGCCAUUAACUAUAUCGACGUUCGACUUCGAGAAUCGUGACCGCACAGACGAUCCCCGUAUCAAUUCGUAAAUCCUUGAGAGAUACCAUUAUAUGCACCGCGUGAGACGCAAGGAUAACAGGCGAAACACGGCGCGAAUUAUCACGAGAACUGUUAUUGUUAUAAAUGAUAAAAUAAAAAUCGUAUGGCGACACGAGA
rnacentral:misc_RNA from 1 species